rnacentral:lncRNA from 1 species
CCAAAUUGUGUAAUAAAAAUCCAAGGAUUACAUUGAAAACGGCGCUCAAAUGCAGGGAGCCAAUUACAGUUUAGACCAGGGGCUUAAUUAUAAGAAUUUUAAAAACGGCAUGGGCUAAAACGUAAAAUGGCCUUUUUAUCUCCAAACGGCGUCGUUUUGAAGACGUUGUCGGCUGUUCAUCUUCUUCCUUUAAGCCAGUGACCGUUGCCGCAGUAAAGGAGGCCGAACGUUGCAGCAGUAAUGGUCGUCCGUUGGCUUUAGUUAUGGCCGCCUUAAUGGUGGUCGACCCUCAGCCUACCGCCCGUUACCACCCGUAGAGCCCUAUAUAAAUCGAGCAACACCGAGAGCAAGGGGCUGGUUGGAGAGUUAGAGAGAGAGAGGGACUAACGAAACCAGAAGGGAGUGGGGAAGCUAAAACCCAGACGAAAAAAACCCAGUAGACAGAGGCGGAGAGACUGAAAAAACCUGGGGAAAACUGAGAGAAGAGUAGACCAAGAGCCGGGGAGAAGAAAAAGCCACGAAGGGAGGGCAGAACCGAGAGGGAAUUUAUACAGAGGGGAGAAAAGUUUUUGCCCCUGUUUCUGCUCAAAGAAACAGAGGCGUUCGCGCCUCACGCGUGAAGAAAGAGGGGAUUGGGCUGAGAAAACAAAAGGAAGGAAUGAACGGGGAGAAGUAUAAACCGAAGACAACAGGAAACACACAGAGAAGAACGAAACGGAGACUGAGACGCAGAAGACUGGGAACUAACAAAGAAAAACAGAGAACACGAACAAGCAGGGAGAAGACGUGCAGAAGAGACAGAGCAGAGGGAUCCAACACAGAAAGGAAAAAAACAACGUAGAAGAAGGAACAGAGGAGAGGAAGUAGCGUCUGCCAGCUAGAGCUAACCGGUCAUCACCAUCGUCUUCGUCUUCAGGAGCAGCAGACCAGGUAAGCAAACUUCUCUUUCCCCGCUUUUCAUUUUAAUUCACCGGCUA